UUAAAUUUGAUAUGUUUUAAUCAUAAAAACUGUAAAACAUCUAUACAGCUUCUUUCAACAGCAUAUAAAAUGGUGCUUUGAUUCAAAAAAGCAAUUUAGACCUUUCAAACUCAAUGUUAAACAGGCACAUUAUGUAUUUAUGAAUCUGCUUUCCAAAUUUUAUGCUGGAUUCCUCUUUCACAUGGUAAAACAAUCCAUUUAUCAGUGAAUGGAAUGAUGAAAUGGUAAGGAGUUUGCAAUGCCUUCUCAUGUUUAGUGUCUCUGCAUAUCAUCUAUAGAAUGAAUGGGGAAUGUAAAUGUACUGUCUGCUCUUAUGUCUAUGCAAAUAUUUCACUUAUGAAAAAUUUUUAUGCUAUGGCAGACAAUCCAUAAUCGUCCUCAUCAGAGAAAACACAAAGUAAUGUAGGCAGCCUGACAUCUGAAGUAAGGAACAUGCAGAAAGUUGAUCUUUGGCUAGUGUCUUUGAGAUUCUGCUCCUGCCACGACUUCCAGUCGCUGGUAGUGGCUGGGGGUAAAUUGAUGAUUAUGUACAUAUGUGAAUAUGUAAAUCUCACAACUUAAAAUCAAAACGUUAUUUUUUUAGUUGUCUGGAUCCAUGGUAUGGGUCCAUGGUUAAUGACUUCUGAGCAGCCUUAAGUGUAAAUAUAAAUCUGUCAUGUAUUUUCUGUAAAUAGCACUAGGAUAUUAACCAUGGACGUUUGUACAUGAUUGAUUGCUCUUAUUUUAACAUCUUGAUUUUGUCAAAAGGUUAGGAGAAAGAGUGUGUGGAAAGAGCGUUAAUGAUGUGAAGGAAAAUGCCCUCGGAUCGUAAUGACUUUUAAUCUGUAAUCUUGCCUUUUUUUGUUUCUUUCUUCAAUUAAAGAAAAUCACUCGUCUUUCACUGGGUGAUCAAGUCAGUGCCAUCCUGAAAUGUGUUUCAUGUGCUGUCAGCCGAAAUCUGGGCAAAGAAACCUUGGAAGCACCUUAAAUCAAUAUUUUAU
rnacentral:misc_RNA from 1 species